UGAGGAAUAUUGCACAAUGGGGGCAACCCUGAUGCAGCGACGCCGCGUGGGUGAUGACGGCCUUCGGGUUGUAAAGCCCUUUUGCCACUGAUGAGGAAUGACAGUAGGUGGCGAAUAAGCCUCGGCUAACUACGUGCC
rnacentral:rRNA from 1 species